rnacentral:tRNA from 3 species
GCCUCGGUAGCUUAAUCGGUUUUGAGCACCACAUUGGUAAUGUGGAGGUUGCGAGUUCAAUUCUCGCCCGAGGCU